CUUUCUUCUUCUUCUUCUUAUUUCUUUUCUCUUUUUCUUUUCUGCUGUUAAUUUGUGAGUCAUGCAUGAAGAUUUUUAGAUCGAACCAAGAGUUGAAAUAUGAAAGAAGGGUUCCUGGUGGUGAUGAUUGAGUUGUGGUUGGUUCUGAGUUAAAAGAAGUGACGAGUUAGAGAGGAUUAAGUUAGGGUUUGAGUUUGGGUUCAAGCCAUAGAAGAAUUGAGUAAUGAAAGAUAGAUUUGAGUGAUUCGUGAUGAAGAAAAAGAAGGGUUGCUAUUAAUUUGUCAAUGUGAAGUUGUUCUUAUGAAGAAUCACAAAUCAGACGAAUUAGGGUUUCAUAGGAAUAACGUAGAGAAGCUGUAGUAUAUGAAAUUGGUGUUCUGGAAGAAUGAUUCGAGAUAGGUAUUGAAUGAUUGAGUGUAUUAGAGUGCAGUUAUAGAUGAAGUUAACCCUCAGAGGAUGGAAUUGAUGAUGAUGUUUGAUCAAUUAGGGUUUCGGUGGAAUUGUCUUGGUGAACUAGCGAAUCAGAAGAUGUUAAUGUUUGGGUAAACCUUUAAUUGUUUAACUUUGGUCUUUUGAGUUGAAUUGCUAAGAUUAUUUGAGUUUACAUGUUUGUAUUUGAAGCUGAGCUUGAGAUGAUUAGAUAGUGAAACUGUAACUAUUGUUAGAAGUGGUGUUGAUAUCAAGUUACUGUUGAAUUUGAAGUAUAGUUGAGAUUGGUGUAUGCUGAGAAGGACUGGGUCUAUUCUUGUUGUAAUUGUUAUAGGUGAAUAUUGAAUUAUCUUGGGUGCAGGUGUUAAUGAAAUGAUUUGUUGGAUGCUGCUGUGAUAAACAAGGUAGCUGGGUUAUAUUAAUAAGGGUUGUUAUUUGUGUCUGUGAUUUGAUUGAGAUGGCAGUGUAGAGGAAUGUUAGGUUGGUUGUAGAUGGAAUAGUCUUGGUGUUGGUGGAUUUGAGUUACACAUAAUCGUCUUAUGUUGGAUUAGUAGAAAUAUUGCUAAGUUGCAGGGAGGAGUUGAAUCUGUGGUGGUAUGAUAUUGAGUUUGAGGUUUAAAUGUGGAAUUGAGUUUGGUUCAUUUGGUAAUGGAAGUAAAUGUUGAUACUGUUGUGACUAUGAAAAAGGUUAUCGGUUUCUUGAGAUGAUGAAUGAGUUAUGAAUUCAAAUGUGUUGGUUUUUGUAGAACUGGAGUUGCAGUUACAGAGUUGAGGUGUGUGAGCUCGUUGAUUGGUGGUUCUAGUGCAAUUGCACAUAAAUGGAACUGUUGGUGUUGGUAUUCACAAAUGCAGGGGGCUGCUGGAGUUACAAUUGUUGGAGUUUAGUUAGGCAAGUGAAAUGAAAAUGAAGUUGGGAUACCGGAGUUAGUGGUGUGAACUGGUGUGCACAAGAAGCUGCAGAUGGUUGAGCUAAAAGAUGCAGUGAGUUUGUUGUGUUGUGAAGAAACUGAAGAAGGGGUUGAGGUUAAGGGCUGCUGAUAAGAGACUGGUGCUAAGAAGACAGAACCAUUGCAAGACUCAAGAAUUGGUUAUGAUGUUGGAUGGGCCUGAAAUGAACUGUUGUAUGUGGUUUUGUAAUGAAGUGAUGUUGCAGUUGACAUUUGAGAAGAUGUGCUCUGGUUGAAUGUUAGUGUUCCCUGUGAUGGUUUGCAGAGAAUGUUGAGAGUGGAAGUGAUGUUUGAACUGAGUUGGUAGAAUGAAGAAAAGUUAGAUUGUUGAUUAUAGAGUUGUAGAUAGUGAUUGCUGUGAAAGGCUUGGAACUGCUGCAAUUGCAGUUAGUCUAUUUAACAACGGUCGAUUCAAAGGAUGAACCAGUGGAUCGUGGAUCUCGAGGUAGGCGUGGCUUGUCAUCAAAAGAGGUGGGAAUACAUUUGACUCUUUGAUAACCAUUAUUGUUUUCCUUUACAAAAGUUUAUGUUUAACAAACUCAUGUAUUUCUGUUUGUGCGUUCUAUGCAUGGUUUAACUUGUUUUACAAUAAUACUGUUGAUUCUGUUAAUCUUUCCAUGGUUUGGAAAGGACCUGUAAUGUGUUGUGGUCAAUAUGAAUUGUUAUGGGAAAUAAGAAUUUUCACGUGUGGUA